rnacentral:rRNA from 1 species
UAACACGUAAGCAACCUGCCUAUUAGAGGGGAAUAACAGUGAGAAAUCACUGCUAAUACCGCAUAAGCUGACGAUACCGCAUGGUAUAGUCAGAAAAGGAGAAAUCCGCUAAUAGAUGGGCUUGCGUCCGAUUAGCUAGUUGGUGGGGUAAAGGCCUACCAAGGCAACGAUCGGUAGCCGAGCUGAGAGGCUCAACGGCCACAUUGGGACUGAGAUACGGCCCAGACUCCUACGGGAGGCAGCAGUCGGGAAUAUUGCACAAUGGAGGAAACUCUGAUGCAGUGACACCGCGUAUAGGAAGAAGGUUUUCGGAUUGUAAACUAUUUUAGACAGGGAAGAAAAAAGACAGUACCUGUAGAAUAAGCUCCGGCUAACUACGUGCCAGCAGCCGCGGUAAUACGUAGGGAGCAAGCGUUAUCCGGAAUUAUUGGGUGUAAAGGGUGCGUAGACGGGACAGCAAGUUAGUUGUGAAAGCCCUCGGCUUAACUGAGGAACUGCAACUAAAACUAUUGUUCUUGAGUGCAGGAGAGGAAAGCGGAAUUCCUAGUGUAGCGGUGAAAUGCGUAGAUAUUAGGAGGAACACCAGUGGCGAAGGCGGCUUUCUGGACUGUAACUGACGUUGAGGCACGAAAGUGUGGGGAGCAAACAGGAUUAGAUACCCUGGUAGUCCACACUGUAAACGAUGGAUACUAGGUGU